UGUUCUCUGUUGUGGAGGAGCUAACAGGCAGCUUGAUAGAGCUGCUGGAAAGUCCCUGAAGGGCCGUGAACGAUGAGAAAAGAGGAUGAAGGGUGUUUGUGCAGGGUGAAAAUGGGGAAGUAAAAARCAGAGAAAGAYAAAGUCAGCGUCUUACUAAUCCAGACAAUGUGCCGCGUGUCCCUGUAGCUUAACCCAGUUAUAGACUAGAGCUAGACAUGUGAACAAUGAUCUUUAGCGAAUCACGAGUAAGAAAGAUUACGUAUGAAAAAUCUGUACGGGUAUAAGUAUAUGUGUAAAACCUCAAUAAAGGGUCUUCUGAUUCACCCGCAUCAGGAGUCCAUGCCUUAACUCUCCAUCACUCUGUGACUAUAACGCCUUUCUCUAGACUCGUCUGCUCCUGCAUCGAAAUUAUAUUCCUCUGGGCAGUAUCUGCUGGAUCUUUUCACUGCUCAGUACCAGUACAAAGCUAGUGUUUUGGCUGGCGACCUGUCUUGCCAUUUUUUGGACUGUGGCARGACCUGUUGUGACAUCCCUCUAUCCUGUAUAGCUCUUCAUGAUGAACGCGACAGGACCUAGAACUCCUGAUGUAAGAUUUGAGGAGGGAGCUUCAUCCACUGCUUUAAAGAAAUGUAUAUAGUCUGACAUCUUUCCCUAGGACUGUAUUUAAUGAAGUAAGGCUCUGGUUGUGAAACAAGUAAUGGUUAUGAUGGAUGCACCUACCUCUGCCAUCUAGCUCUGUGUGUGGAAGAUUAUAAUCUCUUCAGAUAAGAAAUGAGGGGCAAGCCAUAUGUGUAUGCUUAUACCCUUAAUCUUCAGGAUCUUGGUUUCCCUGCACAAAUAUGAGUGUAAGAAGGUCAUGAUAUAUAUAUAUAUAUAUUUUAAAACUUGCUAUUUUUCCACUCACCCUGCAGAUCUCAAACAACUUUUUUUAGAUUCCAGUGUGACCUCCUGGAGAGCUGCACAAUGGGAGUCUUUUAAGGCGAUGAAGAAGAUGCAGCUUUGUAGCUUUGCUCAUCCCAAAUGCUGCCUGACUUGGGACUGUUCCAGCAGCCCCUGGAAGAAGCCAGCACGUCCCAUUGAAUUCAUCGCGCUGCAGUGCUCGUGGAAUUCUCUGAGCAGCCCUGCCAAGACUCGCUGCGGAUGAACUGGAAGGCACAAUGUUCUGCUUUGGGCUUUUUAACUCUUGCAAUAGAGGAUUUUUCUCAGUGUGUUUGGGAAGGCUUUAAAAUUAUGCUUGUCAGCUUUAACCUUUCAAUGCUCUCAGCUGGAAAACCUGGAAGGUAUUGAAGAGCUUCCCUUGAGAGCUAAGAUCUUUUCCUGUCCAUUCACAGGUUUCACCCUAGGUUUUGCCCAGGGCAAUGAGAACUUYAAGUCUCGAAAAUGUGCCUUUGUUGGAUGCUGAAUGUGCUUUGCAUUGGUGUACCAGUGUUCAGUUCUUCUAUUUUUCUAAGCGGCUGAGGGAUGAAAUUUAUGAUCUCUCCCCAACAGAUGGGAAACUGAGGCAGGCAGAGAGGGGUUCUCAUGCCACAGUAACGCAGUGGGCUGGAGUUCUCCCAAGUCACACUCUAACUGUCACAUUAUGCUGCCUAUCACUGCAAGUACAGUGCACGUCUAGAUGAACUAGGAUAGACCGUGGAAGAAUGUCAUUCAUUUAUGCAUGCUUUAUUGGGGCCAAWGAAGCUCAGAACUGAAACAUUUUGUGUUGUUUUAAGAUCCCAUAGAAUUUUUUGAAAAAUACCACAUCAUCUGAAGCCUCUUACCCCAUUUACUGUGCCAGACCCCCUAAAUCUGUAUUUGAGUUCUUUACUUCAAUAGCUGUGUCUUGUCCCCCCACAGAGCGUAGUGGUUACUUUCUGAAGCACUUUAGGAUCCUUCACAAUAAAGAGCUAUGUAGAUAUUCCA
ensembl:lncRNA